GACGAACCGUGCGAACGUUAUUCGGAAUCACUGGGCUUAAAGCGCGAUGUAGGCGGGACGGCACGUCGGUCGCUGAAAGCCCCCCGGCUCAACCGGGGAACGGGCGCCGAUACGACCGUCCUGGAGGGACGUAGGGGGACCUGGAACUUCCGGUGGAGCGGUGAAAUGCGUUGAGAUCGGAAGGAACGCCCGUGGCGAAAGCGAGGUCCUGGACGUUUUCUGACGCUGAGACGCGAAAGCCAGGGGAGCGAACGGG
rnacentral:rRNA from 1 species